CAAAUUAUGGUAGAAAAAGCUAACUAGCUUUUACUGUGUUCAACAGACUGGAUAUAAAGAUGGAUGCCGUGUCUCCACUUCCUGCCACUGUACAAAAUCCUGGGUACGUGCGCUGUGAUCUUUUGCUGGUGUGUCGGUACCUGCAGCUGCCGGAGGACCUGAUAGGCCAGCAGCUCCUGCCUCAGGUCGUCUCCACACUUCACGAUGACGGACAGCAGCCUCCAGUUCAGCAGGUGACCGUACGGAGAGGCUUCUCUGAUCCGCCUGCAGAGAAACGCACAGGCUCUUUGAGGGCGACGGCCGACGGGUCCUCGGGGUCUCUCCGGAACGAGGUCGGAGUGUGAGCGAGGUUCUCCGAUAGACGGCGUCUGGAGAACAGAUACAGCACGAGGACAACGAGACCAAGCGUUAGAACGAUCCGUCUCCAUGUCACUGACUUCAGUUUCAAUUGGACAGGUCUGAUAAAUCUGCGCCGUCCUCAGGUUCUGCCAACACGUUCUCAUCCCGACUCGUCACAUAUGGACGCUUGGUCAACGCCCUGGGAAAUGAACACUGGUCUCCUGGUUGAAAGUCCGGUUUCUGGUCCACCGUCCACCCCAACCACCUACUUAAGCCCCCGGCGUCGCAAACUGCUUUCUUCACAGCCUGCGUACUUUGCGUGUACCUGGAGGAUUAAGUAAAACUUACUUCAAAGCACGGUGCACUUCCUGUCUGCUCGGAGGCGUUGCGAGGCUACCCAGCCAACCAAUCACAGAGCUUACGGUCACGACAUGUAGUUACAUUUGAGGAGGUGCACGUCAAGCGAUGGCAUAGUGUAGGGGGCUACGCACAGGCUACGCUGUUGAUUCGGCGCAGAAGUAUAAAUUACACUUCACCCAGUGCGUUGAACUAUGACCCCAACGGGUCCUUGACAACGUGUCCAUAUGUGACGACUUGGGAGUUUGAACGCUUUGGUUCUGCAGUAAAUUCACUGCAGUGAAACAACUCAUGCAGAAGCCAACAUGUGAAGUUAACGUGGAAUAUACAGUAUCUCCCCUCACCCCUCACAUUUACGUGAAUAUUUGAUUUUCCCUUAGGGGUCCUCACUUUAGUUGCCAGCGGUUUAGACAUUAACGGCUUUGUGAUGUGUUAUUUUGAGGGGACAGCAGAUUUACACUGUUAUACACUCACUACUUUACACUGGAGCGAAGUGUCAUUUCUUCAGUGUCGUCACGUGAACAGAUAGAAUCAGAUAUUUACAAAGAUGUGAGGGGUGGACUCAGUUUGGUGAGAUACUAUAUGUGCUCCUUUAAACUUCACGGUCGAUAUUAAUUUACUCCACUGAUCUUUCAUUUAUUGUCUACAUUGUUGUUGUUUUGGUUUAUGGUGUGGAUGUAUUUUUCUGUGUACUGUAGUCUCACCAUCGUGAGCAAUGUAUGAUCCAGAGUCAAAUUCCUCGUAUGUGCACACAAACCUGGCAAAUAAAGCUGAUUCUGAUUUA